ACAGAUUUUCACCCGAGACGGAUUCACCUGACUCAGCUGAUAACGACAAUAAAGAUUGUGAGGGACAUAAAGAGCUGUACAUCAAGGGGUGUACUGAAGUACUCUAGCUGAAUGUGUACAUGUACAUCCUGAAAGCUGUGAAGACAAAUUGACCAAUAGUGUGCCAUCGUUUAGUUGCAGAGAGACUGGAUGGUCCGUUGUUUUCAUCAUCAGAGGUCACCACUGUGUUGUUAAGUGUGUGGGUGGGCUGGUCAAAAUACCUGACUGACAC